rnacentral:rRNA from 1 species
AUGAUCCCCAGCUUGCUGGGGGGAUUAGUGGCGAACGGGUGAGUAACACGUGAGUAACCUGCCCUGGACUCUGGGAUAACCCCGAGAAAUCGGAGCUAAUACCGGAUAGGACCUUUCCUCGCAUGAGGGUUGGUGGAAAGUUUUUCGGUUUGGGAUGGACUCGCGGCCUAUCAGCUUGUUGGUGAGGUAAUGGCUCACCAAGGCGUCGACGGGUAGCCGGCCUGAGAGGGUGACCGGCCACACUGGGACUGAGACACGGCCCAGACUCCUACGGGAGGCAGCAGUGGGGAAUAUUGCACAAUGGGCGCAAGCCUGAUGCAGCAACGCCGCGUGCGGGAUGACGGCCUUCGGGUUGUAAACCGCUUUUAGUAGGGAAGAAGCCUUUCGGGGUGACGGUACCUGCAGAAAAAGGACCGGCUAACUACGUGCCAGCAGCCGCGGUAAUACGUAGGGUCCGAGCGUUGUCCGGAAUUAUUGGGCGUAAAGAGCUCGUAGGCGGUUUGUCGCGUCUGCUGUGAAAUCCCGAGGCUCAACCUCGGGCCUGCAGUGGGUACGGGCAGACUUGAGUGGUGUAGGGGAGACUGGAAUUCCUGGUGUAGCGGUGGAAUGCGCAGAUAUCAGGAGGAACACCGAUGGCGAAGGCAGGUCUCUGGGCACUUACUGACGCUGAGGAGCGAAAGCGUGGGGAGCGAACAGGAUUAGAUACCCUGGUAGUCCACGCCGUAAACGUUGGGCGCUAGAUGUGGGGACCUUUCCACGGUUUCCGUGUCGUAGCUAACGCAUUAAGCGCCCCGCCUGGGGAGUAC